rnacentral:lncRNA from 1 species
ACUAUAUGAAACACAGUAAAAACUGAAGAAAGGCAGAAUUCCUUCCUGACUUGAAUCAGAUCAGAUUAAGUGCUUAAUAGAGGUGCUACCUCUAUUAACCUGAUGUGUCCAAACCAUCCUUUCUCCUACAUGACAAUCUUCACUUAUUUCUGAUACAAAAACAGUGAUUAUGAACUCUUUGUUUUGGCUAGAGAAACUUUAUUUAGACAAGUUAAAAAUUUAAGCAAGUUAUACAAGUUGGAAAAAAAAAAAAAAUGCUUGUAACAGUUAAUGGUAACUUGGUUUCUACAUGUUUUCCAAACUGAAGCUCCCAAACAAAACACAAUGUUUUCUAGUACCUUUUAUCCUACUUAUGUUUCCAGGUAAGAUUUCUCUCUCACUCUUUUUUUUUGUUGUUGUUGCAUUUGUGGUUUAAUAAACGGAGAGUAACUGUUUGUAAACCCAUGUUAGUGCCAACUCUUGGCAUUUCUUUGCCAUCUCAGAAUUAUUUGGUUUGAUCUCUUUUACCACAGUUGUCUAUAAAAUUUCCUUAGAGGCUUUCUGAAGGGAAAUGGAAGUUCAUGGAGAAAUGAAAGAAAUGUCUUGGUUACUGAGUUUUAAGUGAAACAGGUUUGAUAGCACUUCUCAUGAUGCAUUAGGGUCAUUGCUAUGUAACAAAAACCAACAUGAAACUAAUUUAAACACAAAAGAGUAAGUGCUCUGCUUCUUUAUUUAAAAAUAAAGAAGUGAAAAGUCAUUCAUCAACAUAAAAUUUUGGGCACUCUUCUCUACUUUCUCUGGGAAAGCAUUGUAUGUUGGGGCAUUAGUUUAAAAUGCCGGCCGUAACUUUUGCCUGUACUUGUAGUUACUGGAAUUUUGUUUGUUUUAUACUUUGAAACAUACCUGUAAAUUGAGCCUGUGUGAAUUAUGUUCCACUAUAUGUAUAUUACAGUUCUUUUCCUAUUAGAGCAAGUUGUGGUUUUCUGAUAAUGUAUACAUUUAUUUAGGUAUAUAUUUAGCAGUUCACAGUAUUCUAAUCUGGAAGUAAGAACUUCUAAAAAAUAGAACUUGUUUCAAUUUCCACCUGUUUUCUAAUAUCUAUCCCUGUAUGUAAAUAAUGAGUUUGUUGAUAUUUAAGAUGAACACAAUUUGAAUGUAAUUAAAAUGCUGUUUUUUUUGAGAGAGAUGAACUUUAAAUAUACUUAUUAAAUGAAAUUCUAU